ACCAGCUCGCGUCCCUCCCCGGCCAGGGCCACCGCCGUCCGAGCGCCCGCGAGGGCUGGCGCCCCAUUCCCGGCGCAACGAGUGUUGCGCAACGGCCCACGCGGCCGACACGACCGGAGCGAGCCUGCGGAGGAGCCCGGGAGCCCCCCGUCCCACCGCCCCGUCCGCUCUUGGCUCCCUUCACCCUCCCGGUCGCCGCGGUGGCUCUGCGCUCCCCGCGACCCUCACUUGCUCGCAGAGGCGCUUUUUGUCUUCCUGAGAGCCGCAGCCUGCUGGGCUACCUGUUGCCGACUGAGCACUGCGGGUUGCGGCUACCCGGGCGUGGCCCGGACCUCGGCCUCCCCUUCCCCGCACACUCCCGAGAGGAGCCCUCUACCUUGGGGUGGGCAGGAGGGAAGGCGGGGGGUGGCGGCUGGCAAGCUGCCAACACUCGGGGCGCGCUGCGGCGGGGAAGGGGUUGGCGCGGCCGGGCAGCUGCGCAGGGCUGCGCGGCGGAGGCAGCGAUUAAAAUGUCCCGGCGCCUCUCCCGAGAGCCGCGACGGCCCGGAGCCGGGAGGGAAAGCUCCACGCACAAACACCGCCCCCUGCACAAUUAGGGCGAAGAUGACGGCUGCAAAGUUGUUGCGUAACACGACUGGGAAACGAGGCUCGCUGAGGUCCAUCUACCCACCCCCGCCACGCGGGUGCGGCGUUCCUCGGAGGAUGUGAAGGUCCGCGCUCGGGUGCCCCCGCUGGGACGCCCACUGUCGUUUGGUGCUGGGGCUUGAGACGACCGCGCGGGAUCUCUUCCUGUGAUUUUGAGCUGAUAGCUGCUUAGUGUUAUUUCUGCGUCUAACUGGAUACGGUAGUCUUCUCUCCCAAAUUCCCGGGCUACGGAAGAGACGUAAAAAAAUGGAAAAAAGAGCACCUAGCCGCGACUUCUUAAGUCGUCGCGCUAGACUGUCAAGGCACGUGGCACACUCCCUGCGUUUACCGAUACACGGAUAGUGGUCAGUGCUGGCCUUGGCGAAGGGAGCCAUGUUCCCGACAGUGACUCACAGGCUUGCCCAAAUACGGAGUGUGGCAGGUGGGCAGGACCUCCACCAGCCAGCUCCCUCCUGGUCUCCUUGAACUACGUGGGGGCUGGGCCGAGUGCCUCCACGACUUUCCACUUCUUUUUGCUCCUUUCGUUUUUAAAAAGCAAAAACCAAAGUAAAGAGAAGAGCAGAGUGAACACCCAGCUGCAGAAUGUCUUGAGCUGGAACAUCCCCAAGAGGCCAUAUAUAUAUCCCAGGGAUUUUACAGUGGACCUCACUAGGCCGGAGUAACUGUAAAGUCAGAUGGAUAAUGAGAAUUCAGGACGUUAGCCACACGUGGACUGUGGCAAAAAGAAAGUGACCCACUGAAGAAGACUGU
rnacentral:lncRNA from 10 species